rfam:'Nostoc azollae' 0708, complete genome.
UGGUAGAUGCACCCUGGUUAAGCCCUGGAGAACACUCUGGGGCAUUUUUUA